AUCGCGCAUGCGCACAUCGCGAUAGACACAAGAGGUGUUGAAAUCAAUCAAAUAAUUGAUGCAUUGUGGACAUGGACGAUGCUGCAUCGAUAAUCGUCCGGGUCAUAUACGAUUAUUUCUGUUUACAAUUUAUUGUUGACCUAACAACUUUUCUGUUUACAUAUUCUGUUUUGUACAUUCAGGAAGUGCCAUGUGCUCAUGGCUGUAGUUUUAUUUAUCCAAUUUAUUUAGAAGGUAUUU